AGCAGCCGCGGUAAUUCCAGCUCCAAUAGCGUAUAUUAAAGUUGUUGCAGUUAAAAAGCUCGUAGUUGAAUUUCGGGAUCAAUACGUCGGUCGUGCUUCGGUACGUACUGGCGUAAUUGAUUUCUCCCUUCUGACGAACCAUGAUGUCAUUAACUUGGUGUCAUGGGAAAUCAGGACUGUUACUUUGAAAAAAAUUAGAGUGUUUAAAGCAGGCUCACGCUUGAAUACAUUAGCAUGGAAUAAUGAAAUAGGACGUUCGAUCCUAUUUUGUUGGUUUUUAGGAUCAACGUAAUGAUUAAUAGGGAUAGUUGGGGGCAUUAGUAUUCAAUUGUCAGAGGUGAAAUUCUUGGAUUUAUUGAAGACUAACUACUGCGAAAGCAUUUGCCAAGGAUGUUUUCAUUAAUCAAGAACGAAAGUUAGGGGAUCGAAGACGAUCAGAUACCGUCGUAGUCUUAACCAUAAACUAUGCCGACUAGGGAUCGGAUGAUGUUAAUUUUUUUAAUGACUCAUUCGGCGCCUU
rnacentral:rRNA from 1 species